rnacentral:pre_miRNA from 1 species
UGGACAGAUUAUUGUAUUCGACUGUAUUCGAUUGUAUUCACGGCGUGAAACAGGGAUUACACAGUUUUUAAACGGAAAGAGAAUCAAUUAGCAUAAUAUACUCCU